CCCUUAGAUGUUCUGGGCCGCACGCGUGCUACACUGAUGCAUUCAACGAGUCUAAAACCUGGUCUGAUAGGGCUGGGUAAUCUUUUGAAAGUGCAUCGUGAUUGGGAUAGAUGAUUGCAAUUCUUCAUCUUCAACGAGGAAUUCCUAGUAAGCGCAAGUCAACAGCUUGCGUUUAUUACGUCCCUGCCCUUUGUACACACCGCCCGUCGCUACUACUGAUUGGAUGUUUAAGCGAGGUUCUCGAACUGCUAGCGACUUAGCUUCGGUGAGGUCGCAGUGUGGGAAGUGAACCUAGCUUUGGUGUCUAGAGGAAGUAAAAGUCGUAACA
rnacentral:rRNA from 1 species